rnacentral:rRNA from 1 species
GACGAACGCUGGCGGCGUGCUUAACACAUGCAAGUCGAACGGAAAGGCCCUGCUUUUGUGGGGUGCUCGAGUGGCGAACGGGGGAGUAACACGUGAGUAACCUGCCCUUGACUGUGGGAUAACUUCAGGAAACUGGGGCUAAUACCGGAUAGAAGCUCCUGCUGCAUGGUGGGGGUUGGAAAGUUUCGGCGGUUGGGGAUGGACUCGCGGCUUAUCAGCUUGUUGGUGGGGUAGUGGCUUACCAAGGCUUUGACGGGUAGCCGGCCUGAGAGGGUGACCGGCCACAUUGGGACUGAGAUACGGCCCAGACUCGUACGGGAGGCAGCAGUGGGGAAUCUUGCACAAUGGGCGGAAGCCUGAUGCAGAGAUGCCGCGUGCGGGAUGAUGGGUUUCGGGUUGUAAACCGCUUUCUCCUGUGCCGAAGCGUGAGUGACGGUAAUGGGUAAAGAAGCACCGGCUAACUACGUG